ensembl:snRNA U4 U4 spliceosomal RNA
AGCUUUGCGCAGUGGCAGUAUCGUUGCCAAUGAGGUUUAUCCGAGGUGCGAUUAUUGCUAAUAGAAAGGUUUCAGACUUUGUAUUUUAAAAUCUGUUAAUGCAACCAAAGAGCAGUUG